rnacentral:rRNA from 1 species
UACGUAGGGUGCAAGCGUUGUCCGGAAUUAUUGGGCGUAAAGAGCUCGUAGGCGGUCUGUUGCGUCGGCUGUGAAAACCCGGGGCUCAACUCCGGGCCUGCAGCCGAUACGGGCAGACUAGAGUUCGGCAGGGGAGACUGGAAUUCCUGGUGUAGCGGUGAAAUGCGCAGAUAUCAGGAGGAACACCGGUGGCGAAGGCGGCAUCCUGGACCGGAAUUGACGCUGAGGCGCGAAAGCGUGGGGAGCAAACAGG